GUCUGACAUGAAACCGGCGCACGGGUGCGUAACACGUAUGCAACCUACCUUUAACUGGGGUAUAGCUCAGAGAAAUCUGAAUUAAUCCCCCAUAAGACUACGACAUGGCAUCAUGAUGUAGUUAAAGCUCCGGCGGUUAAGGAUGGGCAUGCGGUACAUUAGCUAGUUGGUGAGGUAAUGGCUCACCAAGGCUACGAUGUAUAGGGGGUCUGAGAGGAUGAUCCCCCACACUGGUACUGAGACACGGACCAGACUCCUACGGGAGGCAGCAGUAGGGAAUAUUGGUCAAUGGACGCAAGUCUGAACCAGCCAUGCCGCGUGAAGGAUGAAGGCCCUCUGGGUCGUAAACUUCUUUUAUUAGGGAAGAAAACAUGGGAUGCGUCCCAAACUGACGGUACUUAAUGAAUAAGGAUCGGCUAACUUCGUGCCAGCAGCCGCGGUAAGACGAAGGAUCCAAGCGUUGUCCGGAUUUACUGGGUUUAAAGGGUGCGUAGGCGGAAAAUUAAGUCAGUGGUGAAAGCCCGCAGCUCAACUGUGGAACUGCCAUUGAAACUGAUUUUCUUGAAUAUAGCUGAGGCAGAUGGAAUAUAACAUGUAGCGGUGAAAUGCUUAGAUAUGUUAUAGAACACCGAUUGCGAAGGCAGUCUGCUAAACUAUUAUUGACGCUGAGGCACGAAAGCGUGGGGAGUGAACAGGAUUA
rnacentral:rRNA from 1 species